rnacentral:lncRNA from 10 species
UGCAUUCUAGGCUGGGUGACAGAGCAAGACUCUGUCUCAAAAAAAAAAAAAUUAAGCCAGGCAUGGUGGCACACACCUGCAGUCCCAGCUACUCAGGAGGCUGACACUGCACUCCAGCCUGAGUGACAGAGUGAGACCCUGUCUCAAAAACAAAAACAAAACAAAAACAAAUUAAGUGUUGAUCUUGCACCACUGUAGUUUGUUGAAAGUCAUUACUGAUCGGCACUCAGCGUGCAUGUGAGCAUCUUGUCUACUAAUCUAUGAUCAGGGCAAGGAGAAAGGUGAUGGAAGAAGCCAGCACAGAGGAGUCCGCCGGGUGAAUGACCGAGUGGAGGGAGAGCUGCAGGGCUCCACCUAAACGUCCACCCAAAACAGCUGAUCUGGAUGCCUGUGACCCGACUGCUCACCCCCAUAGGACAGCAUGUGUCAGCAUGAGGGAGGUGAUCACUGCAAUGGAGCAUCAAUGCAGCUCUUCUACUUUGUCGACAUCAGCUUUCCCUUGGCAGUGCCUUUCAGCUCAUUCCAGCAUCCCGCUUUGCCUUGCCUUUGAGGUCCGACAUCCUGGGUCAUUGUGUAUUUAAGUCCUGCACAGUCGCUUGUUUGCAGCGGCUGUAGAUGAACAUCCUCUCAUCAUCUGCUGGCUUGGUCUCAAGGCGCUUAAUAUCCUUGGCAGCUUUCUCAAACAACUGGCAGUUGUUGCAAGGAUUCCUGGGAGCCCACUGAGAAGGUAUGGAGCAGGAAGCUAUUGGAACUUAAUUUUUCAAUUGCAAAACUAAUAUAGCAAUAUUAAGAACAUUUUUGAGUAAAUAGAAACAUACUAUUAAGACUUAUUUUAACUUUGUUUUUGUUAUCAUUGGCCAUUUUAUAGACACAUUUGUUAUGCAUUGUAGCAUUGGUAAAAUUUUGUAUUCAGUCCUCUUUCAAGAAAAUUUUGGAGUAUGAGAAGUCAUCCUGAAAGAUUUGCUAGUCCCAUGAAGUAUUCCAGGAUUAUAUACCAGCAAAUUGGUGCUAUGGUCUGAAUAUGUAACCCUCCAAAAUUCAAGUGUCAUCCAUACUAAGAGUUAGGGCUUUUAAGAGAUGAUUAGGAGAUAUAGGCUUCUUCUUCAUUAAUGGGAUUAAGGCCCCUAUAAAAGAGGCUUCACAGCCAGGUGUGGUGGCUCACACCUGUAAUCCUAGCUCCUAGCACUUUGGGAGGCCGAGGCGGGUGGAUCGCCUGAGGUCCGGAGUUCGAGACCAGCCUAGCCAACAUGGUGAAACCCCAUCUCUACUAAAAAUACAAAAAAUUAGCUGGGCGUGGUGGCGGGCACCUGUAAUCCCAGGAAUUUGAGAGGCUGAGGCAGCAGAAUCACUUGGACCCAGGAGGCAGAGGUUGCAGUGAGCCCAGAUCACACCAUUGUACUCCAGCCUGGGCAACAAGAGCAAAACUCCAUCUCAAAGAAGAAAAACGAGGCUUCACACAGCAUGCAGCUUGUCCUUCAGCCUUCUGCCAUGUGAUAAUGCAGCAGGAAGGCUCUCACCAAACCAAAUGCUGGUCCCUCGGUCUUGGACUUUCCAGCUUCCAGAAUAGUGAGAAAUAAACUUCUGUUCUUUAUAAAUUACCUAGUCUCAAGUACUCUGUUAUAGCAGCACAAAAUGAACUAAGACAGCUGGCCUUCACCAUCCACUAGCAGAAAUAUAAAGGAGGCUGUUUUCCCAAUUCCCUUUCUCUACUAGGCCCAUUUAAAC